GCUCCUAAAGGAUAACAGUCAUCCGUUGGUCUUAGGAACCAAAAACUCUUGGUGCAAAUCCAAGUAGCAGCU
rnacentral:tRNA from 3 species